CUGGGCCAGCUGAGACACUCCAGAGGGACUGGGGUGGAGGUAGCUGGAAACUGAAUUCAGAGCUCAUGGAAUUCACCCCAGAAGGUCAGAGCUUGAAGGAGACUCACAUAUUGCCUGAUCCCACCUCUGCCCACAGUUCAUAGAGAGAAUGAGGCGCAGAGGUACACAGCCUUCUUAUUUGGCAUCCCAGACACCACAGCAACAGAUGGGGCAUCUUGUCUCGCAUGGCUGUGGGAUAUCUGACUGGCCAAGGUGAUUCUUCCCCAGCCUCAGGAAGCUUCCUUACACACAUGUGCUGAUCAGUGAAGAGGGAGCUCUCUGCAGAGCUCUCUGCAGCUCUCUCCUCUCCAAUACUCUGCCCUGAACUCCAGCCAUCUGCGGCCUCCCUGGACUCUCAGCUCCAGCUGCUCAGCUCCAGAAGUCCAUCAGGCUCCACCUGGGUGUGAGCCACGGUGCCCGGCCCCAACCCUCUUAAUGCAGCUCCCUUCCACAUGCCGCAGCUCAGAAACUCGUUCCAGGCAGCAAGGUGGGGGGCGGGCGGGCAAUCAUAAGACUCACCUCAUUUGUUUCCCCUCUCUCGGGAAUCACUGUCCUGCACUGGUGAGGUCCAAUAUCAGAAAACCAUUGUUUCAUAGAUUUUGUCCAGUUUUUUCUAUUGUUUCACUUGGGAGAAUAUAUCUGGUCCCUGGUAUCUCAUCUUGGCCAGAAGCAGAAGUGUUCUGUAUAUUUAAUGCACUAUUUUAAAGUUUUUUAAAAGACUAUCUUAAGGCCGGGCGCAGUGGCUCAUGCCUGUAAUCCCAGCACUUUGGGAGGCCGAGGCAGGUGGAUUACUUUAGGUCGGGAGUUCCAGACCAGCCUGACCAACAUGGAGAAA
rnacentral:lncRNA from 1 species